GACGAACGCUGGCGGCGUGCCUAAUACAUGCAAGUAGAACGCUGAAGAGAGGAGCUUGCUCUUCUUGGAUGAGUUGCGAACGGGUGAGUAACGCGUAGGUAACCUGCCUUGUAGCGGGGGAUAACUAUUGGAAACGAUAGCUAAUACCGCAUAACAAUGGAUGACACAUGUCAUUUAUUUGAAAGGGGCAAUUGCUCCACUACAAGAUGGACCUGCGUUGUAUUAGCUAGUAGGUGAGGUAAUGGCUCACCUAGGCGACGAUACAUAGCCGACCUGAGAGGGUGAUAGGCCACACUGGGACUGAGAAACGGCCCAGACUCCUACGGGAGGCAGCAGUAGGGAAUCUUCGGCAAUGGGGGCAACCCUGACCGAGCAACGCCGCGUGAGUGAAGAAGGUUUUCGGAUCGUAAAGCUCUGUUGUAAGUCAAGAACGGGUGUGAGAGUGGAAAGUUCACACUGUGACGGUAGCUUACCAGAAAGGGACGGCUAACUACGUG
rnacentral:rRNA from 1 species